rnacentral:rRNA from 1 species
UACGUAGGGGGCAAGCGUUAUCCGGAAUUACUGGGUGUAAAGGGAGCGUAGACGGUAAUGUAAGUCUGGAGUGAAAGGCGGGGGCCCAACCCCCGGACUGCUCUGGAAACUAUGUUACUGGAGUGCAGGAGAGGUAAGCGGAAUUCCACGUGUAGCAGUGAAAUGCGUAGAUAUGUGGAAGAACACCGAUGGCGAAGGCAGCCUCCUGGGACGCAACUGACGCUCAUACACGAAAGCGUGGGGAGCAAACAGG